UGAGAAAGGAGUGAGUCAGAAGGUGGGCAUAACCCUGUAAAUCUCCGUGGCAGGGUGCCGUACUGUGUCUCAAGCCAUUCAGAAGGGAGCUGUUUGUAGAUGGUGACUCCUUCAGAAAUAUUGGGAGCUGGCACUGUCAUGAAUUCAAAGCUGAACCCUCAACUCUCCACAAUUGACCUAAGACUUAUGAUCGUCCGUUCUCUACUAUCCCUGCCCUCAAAAGAAGAUCUACAAUAUGAGGAAUAUUAAAGGUCAGUGAAUACAAUGAAGUAUAAACAAUGCAAUGCUAUCUGAAAUCUGCUUUAAAACAUCGAAGGAAAGAAAAGUAUGCAUAGUGGAUAAAUGAAACGAUUGACGAAUUGUAGAUAAUUGUGAGAGGUGGAUGACAGCCACAUGGGAGCUCAUCAUGCUUUUGUAUUUGUGUGAAAUUAAAUGUGUUUACAAAAUUUUCUACAAGUCAAAGCCAUAAAGAAUUGCAGGCCAGAUGUAGUGGCUCAUGCCUAUAAUUCCAGCACUUUGGGAGGCUAAAGUGGAAGGAUUAC